UCCCAGCAGGGUUUUUGUGCAGAUGGACAACACUACUAAGGAGUCGCACUCAGAGCUGAGCUGGGUGAACAGAACAGCACACGUUAUUAAUCUGAAAUUACUUAACAACUUUAUCUUAUGAUGGGAAAAACACUUCCCAAAUACUAUUACCUGUAGAUCAGGGCACACUUUCUUCUACAGACACUACUGAAGGUGCUAUGCUCGUUUGCCUCAAUUCUUUUCUUCCUUGGUGACCAGCCUCCCCUCUGACUGACAUAUUUUAAAAUCUAUAUGCUAUGCUCUGCAAAUUCAAAGUGCAAAUGAGUUCACAUUGAAUUUCAACUAAGAAUUCAACCUUCCCCUCAGUCACAUUUUAUUAGCAGGAAAAUUCUUCUUUUUAGCAGGACUUUUCUUUUUUCUACAUAUUUCCAAAAGACCUAAGAUCUUAAGAACUUUGGGGCUCAUUCCAUGCAAAUAAUUCUGCUUCCAAAAACAGUGCAAGUCAUCAAAAGAACCAGAGAUCAUCACUGCUAUUGCUUCUAGCUGACAUGUGGUGCCCUUGUCCAAAAGGGGUCCUAUAGUCAAUAUACCCAGUAUUGCUGGGUCCCCAAAGGAAGGUUCCCACUCAGGCUGCAUAAGAGCCCAUGAAGGAUAAAGUCUAUUUAAAUUCCUAACCCAGUGCUCAACUAGUAUUCCCCAAGCCCAAUCACUGUGCAGGACGAUUUGGAGAAUCUUCCAGCCUCAGAUGCAUAAUAUGCUAAAAUCAGGCCUCUGUCAAAUCUUUGUACUGUGGUACGAGCCUGAGUUAGUCACCUAAACAUACACUCCCUAAUUCUCACUACUGACCCAUCACCAUCCUAUUUCACUCGCUCCUUCCAUUUUCUCAAAUAAAAACAUUUUAAGAAAGUGCUAUUCAGAGGGUAUUGCAGGAGCCCACAGCAUCAGUUAGUUUCUCUUGGGAUCUUGGAAGACCUGCACAUUAUCAUGCCAAACUGCUGACCUUCUGAAUGAAAAACUUGAGAGUAUAACCUAAGGAUCUGUGUUGAACAAGAUUUCCAGGUGAGUCUAAGGCACAAUAAAGUUUGACUCACUUGGCUUUAAGUAGUUUGAAUAUCUGUGCCCAUCAUGAGAACAGAUGCUUUAGUAUUUUCAAAGAGGUUACAAUUUUCACUCAGCGAGGAGCUCUCCAUUUCUUUAAGUGCCCUUUUCUACUCUGUGUGAUUCCUUAAUCAUGCUGUGGGUAGUAGGAAGAUUUGAAAAGUGCAGCCAUUGGAAAGAAAAUUCCACCCUUGGACAAACACGUGCAUACAUGAAAAUCCAAGGGAUUGUACAAGAGAGAAUUUACUCUUCCCUUGAGUCAUCUAUCAUUUCAACUAUAUCUUUGGGAUAUAAACAAUGGAAGCCAUUGCUCUUCAGGGGACUGUCACCUUCCCCUCUCUGCUACAAAUCUGUCUCUUUUUUUAUUCUUCAUUCCUUCUGCCAUAUGUGCCCUACCUCCUCAUUGUCAUCCGAUACACAUUCAAAACAAUCAAUAUUUUGUGUAACACAAUCCGCUCCCAAGGAACUCAGCAGAACUUGAUAAACCAUAAGUUUGGCAUUUUUAACUCCCUCCAUACUCUGCUCUUGGCUAUUAAAACAGCAUUUCGGACAGCAAUACGCAUUUUUAAAGAGUUUAGGGAAAGGGUAUAAGCACAUAUUAAAAAAAUGCUCAGUCUUUGAGCAUAUAAUAUAAACAGACCAUCUGAAAACAGCAGGCUGUUGGGGAUACUGAGGGGUGGGUGGGAGAAGAAGGGUACCAGCAGUCCCCCUUAGCAUUAACCACAGAAGCUAAAAUAAAAGGUGGUUCUUGCAGCAUCUUUUGGAAUAUAUCUCCUUCUCCACACAUUGUGAAGCACCACAAUGCUUGAACAAUGCAUCUCUCCCCCACACUCAUUUUUUCCCUAAUGCAAUACAUGAAAAGUCCCAAAUUCAGGUGCUCGUACGCGUGCACACACACAUCACCAUGCAUCCACAUAAGGUUAAAAACUGACUACAUUUUUCCUGCUUAGGUACACCAGCGCUUUAGUUUAAAAAAUAGAGGAAAUUUUUCAGAGACUUAAAUUGGUUGCCAAAAUGUCCUCAUUUAUCCACUAACCCCAGGUAUAGAAGCCAUAUGAGUGGCCUCUGCAUUUCACACACAACCUCAAGUAAAAGCCCUCCCCUGACCUCCACCCCUCCAUCUUACUCUGCUCUCCAUCAGAAAGGGGUUUGGCAAAUUACAAAGAAUAAUGUGGUCUUUUCUGACAGUUUGGCUUGGGAGCCCCAAAUGUAAACUCACAUCACUGCUACCGAUGAAUGAUUUUAUUCAUUUUUAGGGACUUAUUUUCUUUUAUUCAAGUACACUUUUUAAGACUCGCCAUGCACCAAGAGGAAGUGGAAUAGGUUUAUUUCAGAAGGCAGACUUACACGACGACCUUGCCAUUAAAAAAUAUUAAAAAUCACUCUGUCAAAAACUCCCACUGAAAACUGCAUUCAUCUUUUCUCAUAGUCAACCCCUCAAACAUCAAGGUGUAGGUGGGUGUGGGUAUGUUUAUGGUUGUGUGGGCCUGGUUUGUUUAAGGAGAGGUUCCACUGCACCAUUGCCACCCACUCUGUCUCAAAACCCAAGGUAUUCUGAGGUGCCCCUGGGUUACCUGGAAGUGAAUUCACCCUACUUUAGGACCAGCACGUCUCUCUUCAAAAUGUGGCUCGGUAGUCACUAAAGGAAACCACACAGUGUUAAGACUAAACAUUCUUGAGUCAGCCUCAGUGAUGGCAAGUUCCACCCCCUGGCCGUUGAGAGGGCAGUUACCGAAAUUUUCCAAAUAAAUAAAGCAAACAAGUGACUUCAGGAAGAAGUUCACAUCUAUAUGAUUUAUAAUACUGGGAGUUGGCCCAUUGAGGCAGAAGGAACCCAGUGAACCAGCAGUAAACCAGAGGCCACCCAGGCACUCAGGGCAGCCUCCAAGGUUUUAGUUCAUGUUCCAUCACCCACUGAAGCCGCACCAGGAGGUGCUCUGUUUGGGAAGGUGAUGGUGUCUUACAACAUCCUGCAGGACUUAUUGGCUUGAACUUUAUCAUUCAGCCUCUAAAUGGGUUAAUAUUAACAGGAAAAAAAAAUAGGGAUCCUAUUUAGAGGACCCUGGCAGCAAGUAAAUACAGAAAAAAAAAUCCUCCUCCAAAAUCAAUGUUUGCUUUGCUGAGGGCCUCCUUAGGUGUACCUUGGAAACAAUUCUGUCUGUCUCCCGCAGUUAAGUCACCCUGAAGCCUCAUCUGCCAGCCAGAAGUACUUAGCAGUCCAGAAUCAACAGGUUGCUGCCAUUGAGCAGAACCAGAACACGGGGGCAAAAAGAAUGGAAAAUGUUAUAUGUGACACAGGGUUCUUGAUGGAAGGUGAUGAUAAAAGAUGAGAAGCACCCUGAGAAGUCCUGCGUCUCGUGACCCCCACCCGCUCCACUAACCUCCCAGUAGGCAGCAUCUCCAGGGACCACUCUGGCCAUGAGGGCAAACACUGCUGCCCUGUGGCUGGUCUCCAUAUGUCAUUCUCAGACACUUCCAAAUGCACACAUGCACAUAUACACAUAUACACACACAUACAUAUGCACACUGCAUACUAGGUAUGUUAUGUAGGAGGACAUUAUGCUUUGAGGGAGCUAAUAAAACAUACUCAGCAUUUUUGCAGUCACAUCCACAUAUCUCUCUGCCUUGGUGUGUAUUAUACAUGUGUAGAAUUAGACAAAAAACACAUAAAGGGCAGAAAUUGCAUUUGAUUAAAUUACCUCGUAUGUGUUUUUAGGCACAAUGCCUAAACUGCUAAUGGACUAGGAAGGAAUGAAGAACACCAUUCAGUUGUUCAGUCUCAGCAUCUUAUUCAGAUUAUGAAGCAUUUAUUAAAUUACAUAUUAAAAUUAUCUGCCAGAGUUCUCACUGUGGCUCAGUGGGGUAAGCAACUGACUGCAGUAUUUCGGGUCACUGCAGAGGCACAGGUUCAAUCCCAAGCCUACCACAAUGGAUUAAAGUAUCCUGCAUUGCUGCAGCUACAGGAUUCAUCAUUCCUGUGGCUCAGAUUCAGUCCUUGGCCAGGGAAUUUCCAUAUGCCCAUGGUGUGGCCAUAAAAGGAAAAAUAAAAUAAAAUAUGUUCUUGCCUCCCUUGUCAAAGAUUAAUUGACCAUAGGUGUCAGGGUUUAUUUCCGGAUUCUCUAUUCUGUUCCAUUGGUCUGUCUGUUUUGAUACCAGUACCACACUGUUUUGAUGACUGUGGCUUUGUAGUAUUUCUUAAAGUCUGGGAGAGUUAUGCCUCCUGCUUGGUUUUUGUUUCUCAGGAUUGCUUUGGCGAUUCUGGGUCUUUUGUGGUUCCAUAUAAAUGUUUGGAUUGUUUGUUCUAGUUCUGUGAAAAAUGUCAUGGGUGAUUUGAUAGGGAUUGCAUUGAAUCUGUAGAUUGCUUUGGGUAGUAUGGCCAUUUUCACAAUAUUGAUUUUCCCAAUCCAGGAACAUGGAAUAUCUUUCCAUUUCUUUACGUCUUCUUUGAUUUCUUUGAUUAAAGUUUUAUAGUUCUCGGCAUAUAGGUCCUUUACCUCCUUGGUCAGGUGUAUUCCGAGGUAUUUGAUUUUGUGAGGUACAAUUUUAAAAGGUAUCAUAUUUUUGUAUUCCUUUUCUAAUGUUUCAUUGCUGGUAUACAGAAAUGCAACUGACUUCUGAAUGUUAAUCUUAUAUCCUGCCACUUUGCUGAAUUUAUUAAUCAGUUCAAGGAGUUUUGGGGUUGAGUCCUUAGGGUUUUCUAGGUAUAGUAUCAUAUCAUCUGCAUACAGUGACAGUUUGAUCUCUUCUCCUCCUAUAUGGAUGCCUUCUAUUUCUUUUGUUUGUCUAAUUGCUGUGGCUAAGACUUCCAAAACUAUGUUGAAGAGCAGUGGUGAGUGUGGGCAUCCCUGUCUUGUUCCAGAUUUGAGUGAGAAGGCUUUCAGUUUUUCCCCAUUGAGGAUUAUAUUUGCUGUGGGUUUAUCAUAAAUGGCUUUGAUUAUAUUCAGGAAUGUUCCCUCUAUACCCACUUUGGCGAGGGUCUUGAUCAUGAAUGGAUGUUGAACUUUGUCAAAUGCUUUUUCUGCGUCUAUUGAGAUGGUCAUAUGAUUUUUGACUUUUUUUUUUGUUAAUGUGGUGUAUGAUGCUGAUUGAUUUGCGUAUGUUGAACCAUCCUUGUGAACCUGGGAUGAACCCAACCUGGUCAUGGUGUAUAAUUUUUUUGAUAUGGACCUGGAGAAGAGACUUGUGGUUGCCUGAUGGGAGGGGGAGGGAGUGGGAGGGAUCAGGAGCUUGGGCUUAUCAGACACAACUUAGAAUAGAUUUACAAGGAGGUCCUGCUGAAUAGCAUUGAGAACUAUGUCUAGAUACUCAUGUCGCAACAGAAGAAAGGGUGGGGGAAAAAACUGUAACUGCAAUGUAUACAUCCAAGGAUAACCUGACCCCCUUGCUGCACAGUGG
rnacentral:lncRNA from 1 species